AUUUAAAUAGUUUAAUUAAAAUAUUGAUUUGUGGUGUCAAUGAUAUGAAAUAUAUUCAUUUUAAAUU
rnacentral:tRNA from 1 species